CUUCAGAUCACUCUAGGGCUUGCUGAAAUAACUUUGAUGUCUGCCCUUCUCUAUACUCUCCUCCCUUCAUUUCUCGCUUUCUUCAUUCAAUCUGGUUCUCUUACCCUAUCAGUUUUCGCUUGGGUUUCUGCCGCUUCAGGGACUCGUCCGACCAGGUAGGCUCCUCUACUACUCUUCAGAGCUUCACUUGCUAAGAUAUGCGCAAGGUUGUUUGCUAAUCUUGGGAUAUGCUCAAACCUACACUCCUUGAAUUUAAGCAGAAGUUGAUGAAUAUCAUGUAAAUACGCAUUAACCAAUGAUUUAUCAGGACUUUUUGUUUUACAUUUUCUUAUUAUUGAUAAAGAAUCCCCUUCAAUAAUAACUUUUUCCCACUGCAUGUUAACGCCGAUCUGGAGGGCUGUCGGCACGCUAUUGCUUCCGCCCCAAAGGCUGAGGAAACUCUUUGAUGAACCUCCAUACAUGAUAGAAGAACUAAACCCUCCUUAUCACGGGCCACAACUCCAAUAGCCGCUUUACUUUGUCUACCAUCGUAUGCUGCAUCGAAAUUGAUUUUGACUACCCUGUCCACUGGCUUUAUCCAUAUUUUUACGGAUGGUCCAUACUGCUACACAAAAAAUUUGAUGCUGAGGAGUCGAGCUUUGUGAGAAAACCCAGGACAUUCCCGGAAGAGAUGGUCCAUGGUUUCAGUUCCUGAACUACAACGAGGACAUAUUGACGUAUUCGUCAGUCUUCUAAGUAGCAUAUUAGCACGCGUAGCUAGAAAAUUCCAAGAUAUCUUCCAAACUAUAAUUUUAAUUUUUGAAGGAAGAUCAACUAACCAUAGUUUCCUGU